UGACCUCUUCGUGCUAGGGAGAAGUCCGACGGGCAACGCCGCGUGAUGAGAAGGUUUUGCGGACGUAAAGCUCGUUGUUAGGGAAGAACAAGUACCGUUCGAAUAGGGCGGUACCUUGACGGUACCUAACCAGAAAGCCACGGCUAACUACGUGCCAGCAGCCGCGGUAAUACGUAGGUGGCAAGCGUUGUCCGGAAUUAUUGGGCGUAAAGGGCUCGCAGGCGGUUUCUUAAGUCUGAUGUGAAAGCCCCCGGCUCAACCGGGGAGGGUCAUUGGAAACUGGGGAACUUGAGUGCAGAAGAGGAGAGUGGAAUUCCACGUGUAGCGGUGAAAUGCGUAGAGAUGUGGAGGAACACCAGUGGCGAAGGCGACUCUCUGGUCUGUAACUGACGCUGAGGAGCGAAAGCGUGGGGAGCGAACAGGAUUAGAUACCCUGGUAGUCCACGCCGUAAACGAUGAGUGCUAAGUGUUAGGGGGUUUCCGCCCCUUAGUGCUGCAGCUAACGCAUUAAGCACUCCGCCUGGGGAGUACGGUCGCAAGACUGAAACUCAAAGGAAUUGACGGGGG
rnacentral:rRNA from 1 species